UAUACUUUAGUCACAUUAGGCAAUUCCGUAAUCUUAUUUAAGGAAAUAAUGAAACACAUUUAAUAAUGUAUUUAUUGUGGUUUGAUAAAAACAUUAUUAUAUAUUUAAAUGGACCAACUUAUUUCUCUAAGGAUUCUAAGAAUCAUUCUAGUGAUGACAUGUGGCUACAAAAAAAUAUUGCAAUGCUUCUCAAAUAAUAUAUAGGGGAUUGCCAUUAAAUCAUCCACCCAAUGAAAAACUAAAGAAAAAUUUCGAGACCGACGCACAUAUUAAUUCCUGGAUCAUGUACACCACCGGAUCUUCUUUCGGUUUAAUAUAUCCCAUGAUAGAAACUCAAAUGGCUAAUCAGUAAUCACUAGACUAUAACUUACUAAAAUAUGUAUAUUUUAUAAGCAUGUACUAUACAUAUAAACGCCUAUGAUUAUAAAGUAAGGAAGUGAAACUUGGCUAGACAUUGAAGGAGUAGAGGAUGGUUUGUUCCAUGGUAGUGAUGUUAUUAGUGUGAAGACUAGAGAUACGAAGAUCCUCCAAAACAGCAAAAGUCUUACUCAGAUGGCGUCUCCUUACCACUCGAUUAUAAGGUCCCAGACAGAUCUCAAAUGCAUCCUUGUCAAGAACCUCUCAGACCUCAACAUACUUCAUCUCAAUAGUCAGAUUCUACGGCAAGAGUCGAGAUUCAAGGAAAGUAACAGUCAUUACACUUCUACAUGAAUGUGUUAUCAUGUUCGUUUGAACAUUAAUGCUCUUUUUGAACAUUAAUGCUUACAUUUUUCUAAGGAAUCAUGUUUGUUUUCAUAUCACUGCCUACGGAUUGCUUCGUUUAUCGCGACAACUUGCGAUUAAUUGUAAGUGGUACAAAAAUUUAAAUUUAACAAUAUAAGUUAAUGAUUUACGGUCGCGCGAUAGCAAAACAAAUCAAAAUUUACCAUUAGUUGCAGCAACAUGUUAAACCGGUCCCAUGUGAUUAGUAGUCACACAUGAGCUGGUUACUUAAUACAUAGAUCAGAGAUUGUCCAUCAAGGAAUGUAAUACAUCGGGUUUGGGACUUUAAAAGAACGGUCAGCCACGGCAAAGCCUAGAAGAUCACUCCACUGAUCACCGGUGUUGCCAUGGAUUUUAAAGCCUUGGUCGAUCAAUUUCGACCGCUGCUCCGAUUUGUAAUUCGUAGCUGACUUCCCUUGAUCAUCUGGACCUCUGCAAUUUACCCAACAAACUUACUUAUAUACCGGUUUAGAUGGUUAAAUGGGUUAAUACCGGUUUGGAUGUCCUCAUCGUAUCAAAGAACAGAGCAUUUUGGUAUGGACUUACCUCAAGAUAAGCCUUUCCCAACCAGAAUAACCAACAUCUCGUAGAUUUUUCUCCGUGACAUUCCUUUGGUCCUCGUCCCGACCAGUUAGCAGAACAAUAGUGAAACCAAGUUUCUUGAGAGCAUUGUACAUUCUCAAGCUCGCAGCAAAAGCUGGAGCUGUACCUUGUACCACCCACUCAUUGAAGCUUUUGGAGUCAAACGGUUCCGACCUAGAUACACUAGAGAAAAA